AAUUAACCCUCACUAAAGAGAGUUUGAUCCUGGCUCAGAGCGAACGCUGGCGGCGUGCCUAACACAUGCAAGUCGAACGUGAACGGGGGCAACCCCUAGUAAAGUGGCGUACGGGUGAAUAACGCGUAGGUAAUCUACCCCAGAGUCCGGAAUAACCUGCCGAAAGGGGGCUAAUACUGGAUAGAGCGACGGAAUCCGUAAUUGGGUUUUUCGGGAAAGGGAGCUCGAUAAGAGCCCUCGCUUUGGGAUGAGCCUGCGUCUCAUUAGGUAGUUGGUGGGGUAACGGCCUACCAAGCCUUUGGUGGGUAGCUGGUCUGAGAGGAUGAWCAGCCACACUGGAACUGAAACACGGUCCAGACUCCUACGGGAGGCAGCAGUGGGGAAUCUUGCGCAAUGGGCGAAAGCUKGACGSAGCCACGCCGCGUGAGUAAAGAAGGCCUUCGGGUUGUAAAGCUCUGUCAUCGGGGACGRACAUCAUUGGGUUAACAGCCCCAGUGACUGACGGUACCCGAGGAGGAAGCACCGGCUAACUCCGUGCCAGCAGCCGCGGUAAUACGGAGGGUGCAAGCGUUGCUCGGAAUUAUUGGSCGUAAAGGGCAGGUAGGUGGUCUCAUUUGUCAGGGGUGAAAGCCAUGGGCUUAACUCAAGAAGUGCCCCUGAAACGGUGAGACUAGAGUGCUCGAGAGGGUCGUGGAAUUCCCGGUGUAGCGGUGAAAUGCGUAGAGAUCGGGAGGAACACCAGAGGCGUAGGCGGCGACCUGGAGAGUGACUGACACUCAACUGCGAAAGCGUGGGGAGCAAACAGGAUUAGAUACCCUGGUAGUCCACGCUGUAAACGAUGGGUACUAGACUUGGUGGGAUUUGACCCCCGCUGAGUCGGCCUAACGCACUAAGUACCCCGCCUGGGAAGUACGGUCGCAAGACUAAAACUCAAAGGAAUUGACGG
rnacentral:rRNA from 1 species